rnacentral:rRNA from 1 species
GUCUGCAGCUGUACCACCUUCAACAUGCCUGAUUGCAUCUGAUCUCAGAAGCUAAGCAGGGUGGGGCCUGGUUAGUACUUGGAUGGGAGAAAUGCCCUGACACACCCUAGGGAACAUUCUCACUGCAACCU